AUACCNGUGGUAAUUCUAGAGCUAAUACAUGCGAAAAGUCCCGACUUCUGGAAGGGAUGUAUUUAUUAGAUUCAAAACCAAUGCGNGUUCUGCCCNGUUCUUUGGUGAUUCAUAAUAACUSUUCGAAUCGCACGGCCUUGCGCUGGCGAUGUUUCAUUCNAAUUUCUGCCCUAUCAACUGUCGAUGGUAAGGUAUUGGCUUACCAUGGUUACAACGGGUGACGGAGAAUUAGGGUUCGAUUCCGGAGANGGAGCCUGAGAAACGGCUACCACAUCCAAGGAAGGCAGCAGGCGCNNNAAUUACCCAAUCCUGACGCAGGGAGGUAGUGACUAGAAAUAACAAUACAGGGCUUUUCUAAGUCUUGUAAUUGGAAUGAGUACAACUUAAAUCCUUU
rnacentral:rRNA from 1 species